AAAAAAACGAGAAAAAAUAAAUGAAUGAAUCCCCAGGCACGGCCAAGUAUAUAAACGAAGUCCGGCCAUGAUAACCGGCAGUCAGCGUUGGACUCAAGACGGGAAGGAAUCCAUAAACGCCCACCGCCAAUAUGUGUGACGACGAGGAUCUUGUUGCCCUUGUGGUUGACAAUGGCUCCGGUCUCUGCAAGGCCGGCUUCGCCGGAGACGACGCCCCUCGCGCCGUCUUCCCCUCCAUCGUCGGUCGUGCCCGUCACCAGGGUGUGAUGGUCGGUAUGGGUCAGAAGGACGCCUACGUCGGCGAUGAGGCCCAGAGCAAGAGGGGUAUCCUCACCCUCAAGUACCCCAUCGAACACGGUAUCAUCACCAACUGGGACGACAUGGAGAAGAUCUGGUACCACACCUUCUACAAUGAGCUCCGUGUUGCCCCUGAGGAGUCCCCCACACUUCUCACUGAGGCUCCCCUCAACCCCAAGGCCAACCGUGAGAAGAUGACUCAGAUCAUGUUCGAGUCCUUCCAGGUCCCCGCCACCUAUGUUACCAUCCAGGCUGUCCUGUCCCUGUACGCCUCUGGUCGUACUACCGGUGAGGUUUGCGACUCUGGUGACGGUGUGACUCACUUCGUCCCCGUCUAUGAAGGUUUCGCUCUUCCUCAUGCUAUCCUUCGUCUCGAUCUUGCCGGCCGCGACCUGACCCACUACUGAUGAAGAUCAUGACUGAGCGUGGCUACUCCUUCACCACCACCGCUGAACGUGAAAUCGUUCGUGACAUCAAGGAGAAGCUUUGCUACAUCGCCCUUGACUUUGAGAGUGAGAUGAACGUCGCUGCUGCUUCUUCCUCCAUUGAUAAGUCCUAUGAGCUUCCCGACGGUCAGGUCAUCACCAUUGGCAACGAGCGUUUCCGCUGUGCUGAGGCCCUCUUCCAGCCUUCCUUCCUUGGUAUGGAAUCUGCUGGUAUUCAGGAAACCGUCCACAACUCCAUCAUGAGGUGCGACAUUGACAUCAGGAAGGAUCUGUUUGCCAACAUUGUCAUGUCUGGUGGUACCACCAUGUACCCUGGUAUUGCUGACCGCAUGCAGAAGGAAAUCACUGCCCUUGCUCCUUCCACCAUCAAGAUCAAGAUCAUUGCUCCUCCCGAGCGUAAAUACUCCGUCUGGAUCGGUGGUUCCAUCCUGUCUUCUCUGUCCACCUUCCAGUCCAUGUGGAUCACCAAGGAUGAGUACGAAGAGUCUGGCCCCGGCAUCGUUCACCGCAAGUGCUUCUAAGAUGGACUCACACAACAGGCGGUUUCAUCAUUUUUUUCACAUAUCCAUAUUAUUGUUAGUAACACACAGUACCUCAACUUACCAACCAAUAUGAUGUACUGGAUACAUUAAGAUACGAUAUGCUCUUAACAA